rnacentral:tRNA from 1 species
UGGGGGUGUAGCUUAGUCCGGUUUAAAGCAGUCGCCUGUCGAGCGAAAGAACGUGGGUUCAAAUCCCAUCAUCCCCGU